rnacentral:rRNA from 1 species
UACGAAGGGGGCUAGCGUUGCUCGGAAUCACUGGGCGUAAAGGGUGCGUAGGCGGGGCUUUAAGUCAGGGGUGAAAUCCUGGAGCUCAACUCCAGAACUGCCUUUGAUACUGAAGAUCUUGAGUUCGGGAGAGGUGAGUGGAACUGCGAGUGUAGAGGUGAAAUUCGUAGAUAUUCGCAAGAACACCCGUGGCGAAGGCGGCUCUCUGGAACGCAACUGACGCUGAGACGCGAAAGCGUGGGGAGCAAACAGG